UGCCAGCCGCCGCGGUAAGACGGAGGGUGCAAGCGUUGUUCGGAAUUACUGGGCGUAAAGCGCAGGCAGGCGGUUCGUUAAGUCGUUUGUGAAAACCCGGGGCUCAACCCCGCUGAAUGCAGACGAUACUGGCGAACUGGAGACCAGUAGAGGAAAGCAGAAUUCCCGGUGUAGCGGUGGAAGGCGUAGAUAUCGGGAGGAAUACCGACAGCGAAGGCAGAUUUCUGGACAACACCUGAAUCUGAGUAACUAAAGCCUGGGGAGAAAACAGGAUUAGAUA
rnacentral:rRNA from 1 species